rnacentral:rRNA from 1 species
AAAUUGAAGAGUUUGAUCAUGGCUCAGAUUGAACGCUGGCGGCAGGCCUAACACAUGCAAGUCGAACGGUAACAGGAAGCAGCUUGCUGCUUUGCUGACGAGUGGCGGACGGGUGAGUAAUGUCUGGGAAACUGCCUGAUGGAGGGGGAUAACUACUGGAAACGGUGGCUAAUACCGCAUAACGUCGCAAGACCAAAGAGGGGGACCUUCGGGCCUCUUGCCAUCAGAUGUGCCCAGAUGGGAUUAGCUUGUUGGUGGGGUAACGGCCCACCAAGGCGACGAUCCCUAGCUGGUCUGAGAGGAUGACCAGCCACACUGGAACUGAGACACGGUCCAGACUCCUACGGGAGGCAGCAGUGGGGAAUAUUGCACAAUGGGCGCAAGCCUGAUGCAGCCAUGCCGCGUGUAUGAAGAAGGCCUUCGGGUUGUAAAGUACUUUCAGCGGGGAGGAAGGUGUUGUGGUUAAUAACCACAGCAAUUGACGUUACCCGCAGAAGAAGCACCGGCUAACUCCGUGCCAGCAGCCGCGGUAAUACGGAGGGUGCAAGCGUUAAUCGGAAUUACUGGGCGUAAAGCGCACGCAGGCGGUCUGUCAAGUCGGAUGUGAAAUCCCCGGGCUCAACCUGGGAACUGCAUCCGAAACUGGCAGGCUUGAGUCUCGUAGAGGGGGGUAGAAUUCCAGGUGUAGCGGUGAAAUGCGUAGAGAUCUGGAGGAAUACCGGUGGCGAAGGCGGCCCCCUGGACGAAGACUGACGCUCAGGUGCGAAAGCGUGGGGAGCAAACAGGAUUAGAUACCCUGGUAGUCCACGCCGUAAACGAUGUCGACUUGGAGGUUGUGCCCUUGAGGCGUGGCUUCCGGAGCUAACGCGUUAAGUCGACCGCCUGGGGAGUACGGCCGCAAGGUUAAAACUCAAAUGAAUUGACGGGGGCCCGCACAAGCGGUGGAGCAUGUGGUUUAAUUCGAUGCAACGCGAAGAACCUUACCUGGUCUUGACAUCCACAGAACCUUGUAGAGAUACGAGGGUGCCUUCGGGAACUGUGAGACAGGUGCUGCAUGGCUGUCGUCAGCUCGUGUUGUGAAAUGUUGGGUUAAGUCCCGCAACGAGCGCAACCCUUAUCCUUUGUUGCCAGCGGUCCGGCCGGGAACUCAAAGGAGACUGCCAGUGAUAAACUGGAGGAAGGUGGGGAUGACGUCAAGUCAUCAUGGCCCUUACGACCAGGGCUACACACGUGCUACAAUGGCGCAUACAAAGAGAAGCGACCUCGCGAGAGCAAGCGGACCUCAUAAAGUGCGUCGUAGUCCGGAUUGGAGUCUGCAACUCGACUCCAUGAAGUCGGAAUCGCUAGUAAUCGUGGAUCAGAAUGCCACGGUGAAUACGUUCCCGGGCCUUGUACACACCGCCCGUCACACCAUGGGAGUGGGUUGCAAAAGAAGUAGGUAGCUUAACCUUCGGGAGGGCGCUUACCACUUUGUGAUUCAUGACUGGGGUGAAGUCGUAACAAGGUAACCGUAGGGGAACCUGCGGUUGGAUCACCUCCUUA